rnacentral:rRNA from 1 species
AUACGGAAGGUGCAAGCGUUAAUCGGAAUCAUUGGGCGUAAAGAGCGCGUAGGCGGGAAUGCAAGUCAGGUGUGAAAUUCCAGAGCUCAACUCUGGAGCUGCACUUGAUACUACAUACCUAGAGGAUAGGCGGAGAGAGCGGAAUUCCAUGUGUAGCGGUGAAAUGCGUAGAUACAUGGAGGAACACCCGUGGCGAAGGCGGCUCUCUAGCUUACUCCUGACGCUAAGGCGCGAAAGCAAGGGGAGCAAACAGGAUUAGAAACCCCGGUAGUCC